AAAAUCUCCCGGCUGUGCCUUAUUCCAGAAUUCUGGCUCUGAACAAACCUGAGUGGCUGCAUAUAUUCUUUGGCGUGAUUGCUGCUGCCUUCUCUGGUGGCAUCCACCCUGCAUUUUCUGUUCUACUUGGAAAAAUCAUUGGGAUUUUUCAAGAAACAGAUCCUGAAAAAAGGAG